AGCGUUUGUUUACCCUUACAUUCCGGCAGUUUUCAAUACAGCGGCACAUAAUGAACACUCUGGUGUCCGGUGUCUCAUUAUUAUGGAAUAAUCAUACAGAAACAGCUUCCUCGUGUAGCGUCCAUUGUGAGCAGCCGAGUUUGUAUUGUUCAAUAAAGAUUUUUUUUUUAAAAAGCAGACGUGUUUGGUGAGAACUACGUCA